UCUACGGGAGGCAGCAGUGGGGGAUAUUGCACAAUGGAGGAAACUCUGAUGCAGCAACGCCGCGUGAAGGAAGACGGUCUUCGGAUUGUAAACUUUUGUACCUAGGGACGAUAAUGACGGUACCAGAGGAGGAAGCCACGGCUAACUACGUGCCAGCAGCCGCGGUAAUA
rnacentral:rRNA from 1 species